ACAGAGGGGGCAAGCGUUAUUCGGAAUUAUUGGGCGUAAAGGGCGCGUAGGCGGCUUUGCAAGUGACGGGUGAAAGCCCUCGGCUUAACCGAGGAACUGCCUGUCAGACUGUGAGGCUUGAGACCGGGAGAGGUGAGUGGAAUUCCCAGUGUAGCGGUGAAAUGCGUAGAUAUUGGGAAGAACACCAGUGGCGAAGGCGGCUCACUGGACUGGUACUGACGCUGAGGCGCGAAAGCGUGGGGAGCAAACGGGA
rnacentral:rRNA from 1 species